CUUAUAAAAAGGGAGAAGAACACACACACACACAUACACACAUGAUGUGAACAUCGAGGCAAUUCGGAGUGAAGCGUCUGCAUGCCAAGGGGCACCGAGGACUUCCAGCAGCCACUAGAAACCGGGAGGGAGGCCUGAAAUAGAUUAUCCGUCACAGGCUCAGAAGGAAGCAGACCUGCUGACAUCUUCAUUUUGGACCUGUAAAAUCCUGAACUAUGACUGGAUGCAGAAGAGAGAGAUACAAGACCACAUGAUGGAAGGGGCCAUCCUCACUGACUUCACCACCUGGAAGGAAGCUAUGGAGGAGAAUUGCCCAAACAAAUACAACUGCAUCAAAUUUUGCCUCUGUAAGAAAUAGAUCUUUGUUAUGCUACAAUAGGUCCCUGAGAUUUGGAUUUUAUUUGUUAUAGUAGCUAGCAUUAUUUUUACUUAAUAAAUGGUUCUUAAUAAAUGGUUUACUUAAUAAAUGGUUCUCACGGUUCUGUAAAGCUGCAACAUGCUUUUAAAAUGUUCAGACACAAUGAUCAAACAACAGGAAGCCAAUAAAGGACUUUAUAAAAUUUAGUUCUGGAUCAGUGCAUUAUCUGGCCUUUUCUUGGGUCUUUGUUAGACUUUGACAUUCUAUUAGUGGAUUGUUAAGAUACCUGCGUGCAUUAAUACACAUUCAAUUGUGAGUUUUAAACCCUCUACUCAUCUCUCUUUUCAAUUUGGAAUUAAUUUCACUUGUGUGAUUAAUGGUCUAGGAAAGCGUUUUGAUUACAUUAUCUCAUUUGAUUCUUGUUAGAAGUUUCACAAUUAACACAUGAAAGCUAUCAUUUUUGAAGGUUGCUAUAUUCCACGUCCUCUUGCUUAUACUGGAAGAGUCAGAAACAAAACAAAACUUAGAGGAGUUUCUUUUUUUUCUAAUUGCAUCUAUCUUUCAGUUUCAGUUCUAAAAUAAUAAAAAAUUUGUAUAAAAGUUCCCC
rnacentral:lncRNA from 1 species